GAUGAACGCUGGCGGCGUGCCUAAUACAUGCAAGUCGAGCGAACGGACGAGAAGCUUGCUUCUCUGAUGUUAGCGGCGGACGGGUGAGUAACACGUGGAUAACCUACCUAUAAGACUGGGAUAACUUCGGGAAACCGGAGCUAAUACCGGAUAAUAUUUUGAACCGCAUGGUUCAAAAGUGUAAGACGGUCUUGCUGUCACUUAUAGAUGGAUCCGCGCUGCAUUAGCUAGUUGGUAAGGUAACGGCUUACCAAGGCAACGAUGCAUAGCCGACCUGAGAGGGUGAUCGGCCACACUGGAACUGAGACACGGUCCAGACUCCUACGGGAGGCAGCAGUAGGGAAUCUUCCGCAAUGGGCGAAAGCCUGACGGAGCAACGCCGCGUGAGUGACGAAGGUCUUCGGAUCGUAAAACUCUGUUAUUAGGGAAGAACAUAUGUGUAAGUAACUGUGCACAUCUUGACGGUACCUAAUCAGAAAGCCACGGCUAACUACGUG
rnacentral:rRNA from 1 species